CGGCACCGAGACGAACUGCCGCGGGCCUCUAUGGCAGAGAGAGGGGGGCUCUGGAUCUGCCGUGGCGGAGCUGGAUCCAGCGACGAGGGACGUGCCGUCGCCGGCGGCGAUCGAUUCCGGCGAGAUCGAGCGAUCGUUUUUUCUCUUCUCCCCCCGUGCGGUGUGGUGGUGUGUGUCAGCGACCGAUGAUGCUUUUUUUUCUUCUCUCCAACCGAUGAUCGUUCGUGGAGAUCUGGUGUGCCAUGCCACGCAUACGCCAUUCUUUCACUUUGCCCCCCGGUGCUAACCGUCCCUCGCAAACGGGUCCCUGAAUAAUACCUUAGGGGCUAUUAUGUUCUUCCACUUUGGCCCCUGUUACUAACCGUCCUUCGAGAACGGGUCCCUGAAUGAUACAUUAGGGGCUAUUCUGUCAAAAGUGGAUAAACUACCNNNNNNNNNNCUUCUUGUCUCCAACCGAUGAUCGUUCGUGGAGAUCUGGUGUGCCAUGCCACGCAUACGUCCUUCUUCCACUUUGCCCCCGGUACUAACCGUCCCUCGCAAACGGGUCCCUGAAUAAUACCUUAGGGGCUAUNNNNNNNNNNGAGUACUUAUAGUCACACUGCAACCAACUUAGUAAUUACAAAUUAGUCGAUUUCCUCGCGUUUCUCGAGGUGUCGUAGUGGAGGUUGCUCCAUGCUCAGCAUCGUUUGGGUGCACGACACGAAAUUGAUCGGUACUGCUCUCUCGGUCGGUCCAGGUGCAUAGAGCGAUUAAGGAGUCGCGGCGUGACCAAGACACAGUAUGACAUGUCAGCGUUAAGUUUAAUAUAUUGGAAGCUAUAUGAGAGGGUCAAAAGAGGCAAUGGGCNNNNNNNNNNNNNNNNNNNNNNNNNNNNNNNNNNNNNNNNNNNNNNNNNNNNNNNNNNNNNNNNNNNNNNNNNNNNNNNNNNNNNNNNNNNNNNNNNNNNACAGAAACAAGAGUUCAAUGUAGGUGAUUAUGUCUUGCUAUACAAUUCUUGUUUGAGAUUCUUUGCAGGCAAGCUUCUCUCUAAAUGGGAAGGUCCCUAUGUUGUUGAGGAAGUAUAUUGUUCCGAUGCCAUCAAAAUCAAUAACACGAAAGGAAAUUUUCCUAGAGUGGUAAAUGGGCAAAGAAUCAAGCAUUACAUCUCUGGUACUCCCAUACAUGUUGAUACCAAUAUCAUCAAUGUCAUAACUCCAGAGGAGUACAUAAGGGAUGUUUAUCAGCCUGUUUCAGACCUUGAAAAUGAAGAUGUAUCUGUUUGAGUAAGAAAUUGGACUCCGAUGCUUUUCCAAUAGGAAAUUUCCUCCGUUUUGGAAUUUUUGGAAAAUUAGAAAAAUAAAAAGCAGUCCGGAGAGCGAACGAGGCGGCCACAAGCCCUGCCACCGCCCCUACCCCCCUGGUGGCGGAGGGCAAGCUUGUGGGCACCUCGUGUGCCUCCCGGACUCCGUUUGCUUGCAGAGGACUCCUUCUGGCCCAAAAAAAAUCAAUAUAUAGUCGCCCGAAGGUUUUGAUCUCCGUAUCGCGUAGUUUUCCUGUGUUUUCGUUUCGAGCCUAUUUCUGUGACAGAUCUAGAUCAUCAUGACUUCCCCAAACGCCCCUAAGGACAAGAUCUUCGAGAAAGUCAUCAAUCCCUACCUCACGGAAGUGCUGAAACACCCUCAAUCUAUCAAGAUGAGCGAGGGGAUGUUGCACAUCCGUGAUGUUGAGGGGCCUAAGAAGACCGGAAGCAUGGAAACGAGGCUCGAAGCAAUGGAGCAACAAGUCUUCAAGUGCUAAGGGAUGGUGGAGAGUGGACUCAACGCCAACCACACAAUGAUCAGGGAGUUCACUAGCAAUCACAAGAUGGAUGCCAUUGAUAUUGNNNNNNNNNNNNNNNNNNNNNNNNNNNNNNNNNNNNNNNNNNNNNNNNNNNNNNNNNNNNNNNNNNNNNNNNNNNNNNNNNNNNNNNNNNNNNNNNNNNNNNNNNNNNNNNNNNNNNNUGAUCAACUGCAGGGCCAGAUCUAUGACCAGCAGAACCAAAACUAUGAGUAUGAGUACAUAUUUAAAUCAAUAAGGUUGGCUGCAGAUUUGAGGAUUCCGGCGACUCGUUCAUCCUGCCAUGAUGGAGCACCUAUGCCUUGGAAGACGGAGGAUCAGACUACUCCAACAACUCCACCACCAUCACCACCAAAGGAAGACAACUAAGCAUUGGUAUGGGCAAUCCCCUUGGCUUCUGCCAAGCUUGGGGGAGUUGCCCUGGUAUNNNNNNNNNNNNNNNNNNNNNNNNNNNNNNNNNNNNNNNNNNNNNNNNNNNNNNNNNNNNNNNNNNNNNNNNNNNNNNNNNNNNNNNNNNNNNNNNNNNNCUAGAUCGUGGGACUGAUCGCGGGACGGUUCGCGGGGCGGAUCGAGGGGCGUGAGGACGUUCCACUACAUCAACCGCGUUCACUAAUGCUUCUGCUGUACGGUCUACAAGGGUACGUAGAUCACACAUCCCCUCUCGUAGAUGGACAUCACCAUGAUAGGUCUUCGUGCGCGUNNNNNNNNNNUCUGUACGAUCUACAAGGGUACGUAGAUCACUCAUCCCCUCUCGUAGAUGGACAUCACCAUGAUAGGUCUUCGUGCGCGUAGGAAAAAUUUUGUUUCCCAUGCGACGUUCCCCGACAGUGGUAUCAGAGCCAGGUUCAUGCGUAGAUGUCUUCUCGAGUAGAACACAAAAGUUUUUGUGGGCGGCGAUGCGCGUUUUGCUGCCCACCUUAGUCUUUUCUUGAUUCCGCGGUAUUGUUGGAUUGAAGCGGCUUGGACCGACAUUACUCGUACGCUUACGAGAGACUGGUUUCAUCGCUACGAGUAACCCCGUUGCUCAAAGAUGACUGGCAAGUGUCAGUUUCUCCAACUUUAGUCGAAUCGGAUUUGACCGAGGAGGUCCUUGUAUAAGGUUAAAUAGCAAUUNNNNNNNNNNUAUCUCCGUUGUGGUGUUUGCGUAAGUAAGAUUCGAUCCUACUAGAUACCCAUGGUCACCACGUAAAACAUGCAACAAUAAAAUUAGAGGACGUCUAACUUGUUUUUGCAGGGUAUGCUUGCGAUGUGAUAUAUUGGAUGUAUGAAAUGAUCAUGUUGUAAUAGAUAAUAUCGACUUGCACGUCAAUGGUACGGCAACCGGCAGGAGCCAUAGGGUUGUCUUUAAACUAACGUUUGUGCUUGCAGAUGCGUUUACUAUUUUGCUAGGAUGUAGCUUUAGUAGUAAUAGCAUGAGUAGCACGACAACCCCGAUGGCGACACGUUGAUGGAGAUCAUGAUGAUGGAGAUCAUGGUGUGACGCCGGUGACAAGAAGAUCGUGCCGGUGCUUUGGUGAUGGAGAUCAAGAAGCACGUGAUGAUGGCCAUAUCAUGUCACUUAUGAAUUGCAUGUGAUGUUAAUCCUUUUUUGCACCUUAUGUUGCUUAGAACGACGGUAGCAUUAUGAGGUGAUCUCUCACUAAAAUUUCAAGAUGAAAUUGUGUUCUCCCCGACUGUGCACCGUUGCGACAGUUCUUCGUUUCGAGACACCACGUGAUGAUCUGGUGUGAUAGACUCAACGUUCACAUACAACGGGUGCAAAACAGUUGCACACGCGGAACACUCGGGUUAAGCUUGACGAGCCUAGCAUGUGCAGACAUGGCCUCGGAACACAUGAGACCGAAAGGUCGAGCAUGAAUUGUAUAGUUGAUUUGAUUAGCAUAGAGAUGCUUACCACUGAAACUAUUCUCAACUCACGUGAUGAUCGGACUUGAGAUAGUGGAUUUGGAUCAUGUACCACUCAAAUGACUAGAGAGAUGUACUUUUUGAGUGGGAGUUCUUAAGUAAUAUGAUUAAUUGAAGUAAUUUUCAUGAACAUAGUCUAAUGGUCUUUUCGAAUUACGAUGUAGCUUGCACUAUAGCUCUACUGUUUUUAUAUGUUCCUAGAGAAAAUUUAGUUGAAAGUUGAUAGUAGCAAACUUUGCAGAGGAUUGUCCUCGUUGCUGCGCAGAAGGCUUAUGUCCUUAAUGCACCACUCGGUGUGCUGCACCUCGAGCGUCGUCUGUGGAUGCUGUGAACAUCGGACAUACACGUUUCUGAUGACUACACGAUAGUUCAGUGCAAAAUACUUAAUGGCUUAGAAGCAAGGCGCCGAAGACAUUUUGAAACAUCACGGAACAUAAGUGAUAUUCUAAAGAGAUGAAAUUGUGAUUUCAUGCUUGUGCCCUUGUUCAGAGGUACGAGACCUCCGACAAGAUUCUUUGUCCAUAGAGUAAAGGAGAAAAGCUCAAUCGUUGAGCGUGCGCUCAGAUUGUCUGAGUACGACAAUUGCUUGAAUCAAGUGGGAGUUAAUCUUCCAGAUGAGAUAGUGAUGGUUCUCCAAAGUCACUGCCACCAAGCUGUGAGAGCUUCGUGAUGAACUAUAACAUAUCAAGGAUGGAUACAAUGAUCCUUGAGCGAUUCGCGAUGUUUGACACUGCGAAAGUAGAAAUCAAGAAGGAGCAUCAAUAGUUGAUGGUUUGUAAAACCACUAAGUUUCAAGAAAGGCAAGGGCUAGAAGGGAUACUUCGUGAAACGGCAAAACAGUUGUGCACUAAUGAAGAGACCCAAGAUUAAACCCAAACCCGAGACUAAGUGCUUCUGUAAUGAGGGGAACAGUCACUGAGGCGGAGCAACUCUAGAUACUUGGUAGACAAGAAGGCUGGCAAAAGUCGAAAGAAGUAUAUUUGAUAUACAUGAUGUUGAUGUGUACUUUACUAGUACUCCUAGUAGCAUGAGGGUAUUGGAUACCGGUUCGGUUGCUAAGUGAUUAGUAACACGAAAUGAAAGCUAUGGCAUAAAUGGAGACUAGCUAAAGGCGAGGUGACGAUACGUGUUGGAAGUGUUUCCAAGAUUGAUAUGAUCAAAACGUCGCGCGCUCCCUCUACCAUCGGGAUUGGUGUUAAACCGAAAUAAUUGUUAUUUGGUGCUUGCGUUAAGCAUGAACAUGAUUGGAUCUUGUUUAUUGCAAUACGAUUAUUCAUUUAAAGAUAAUAAUGGUUACUCUAUUUUCCUUGAAUAAUCACCUUCAAUGAUUUAUUGAGUCUCGAUCGUAGUGUUACACAUGUUCAUGAUAUUGGUGUCAAAAGAUACGAGGUAAUGAUGUUAGUACCACUUACUUGUGGCACUGCCGCUUGAGUCAUGUUAGUAUAAAUUGCAUGAAGAGGCUCCAUGCUAAUGGAUCUUUAUAUUCACUUGAUUUUGAAUCACUAGUGACAUGCUAAUCAUACCACAUGAGCAAGGCCUUGUUUUGAUUGAGAUGAAUCAAGAUAGUAACUUGUUGGAAGUGAUACAUUUUGAUGUAUGCAGUCCAAUGGGUGCUGAGGCACGCAGUGAAUAUCAUUAUGUUCUUACUUCAAUGACGAUUUAAGUAGAUACAAGAGUAUUUACUUAAUGAAUCACAAGUCUGAAAUAUUGAAAAGUUCAAUUCUGUUUCAGAGUGAAGUUCGUCGUAACAAGAGGAUAAACUGUCUACGAUAUGAUCAUAGAAAUGAAUAUCUGAGUUACGAGUUUUGGUACGCAGUUAANNNNNNNNNNNNNNNNNNNNNNNNNNNNNNNNNNNNNNNNNNNNNNNNNNNNNNNNNNNNNNNNNNNNNNNNNNNNNNNNNNNNNNNNNNNNNNNNNNNNCGACCACAUACCUCCACGGUUUUACCUCUAGAUCGCGUCUCUGCGGAGCUCGGGCGGAGCCCUGCCGAGAUUAGAUCAUCACCAACCUCCGGAGCGCCGUCACGCUGCCGGAGAACUCAUCUACCUCUCCGUCUCUCUUGCUGGAUCAAGAAGGCCGAGAUCAUCGUCGAGCUGUACGUGUGCUGAACGCGGAGGUGCCGUCCGUUCGGCACUAGAUCGUGGGACGGAUCGCGGGACGGUUUGUGGGACGGUUCGUGGGACGGUUCGAGUGGCGGAUCGAGGGACGUGAGGACGUUCCACUACAUCAACCGCGUUCACUAACGCUUCUGCUGUGCGAUCUACAAGGGUACGUAGAUCGGAAAUCCCCUCUCGUAGAUGGACAUCACCAUGAUAGGUCUUCGUGCGCGUAGGAAAUUUUUUGUUUCCCAUGCGACGUUCCCCAUCAGAAGGGCCUAUCUUGUACCUUUACUUUUUGCCCUUAUAAGAGUCAUGGUGAUCAUCACCAAUUCCCUUUUUGCCUUUUUCUUGGCUACCCGUCACAUGCUUGGGAAAGAUCUAUAUUCAUAUAUCAACUUGGAGUUGAGUACUUAUGCUUUAUUGUUGUUGACUUUACCUUUGAGGUAAAUGGUUGGGAGGCAAAACUAUAAGCCCCUAUCUUCCUCUGUGUCCAGUUAAAACUUUGACACCAUGAGUACCACGUGAGUUGUAACAAUUGUGGAAAACAAAAGAGAUGAUUGAGUAUGUGGGUUUGCCUUACAAGCUCUUAUUUGACUCUUUCUGAUGUUGUGAUAAAUUGCAAUUGCUUCAAUGGCUAUGGUUUAUUGUUGGUUACUUCUCGGUAAGGUUUUUUGCUUCAUGGUUUGCUUUGUGAAGGAAUUGUUACUUUCCCAUAAGAAUCUUUAUGAUGUAUUGUUGUUCUAUGUGUGAUCAUGAUGCCCUCAUGUCCGUAUUAUGUUUUAUCGACACCUUCGUCCCUCAACAUGUGGACAUGUUUAUGGAACUUGGUUUUCGCUUGAGGACAAGCGAGGUAUAAGCUCGGGGGAGUUGAUACGCCCAUUUUGCAUCAUGCUUUCAUGUUGAUAUUUAUUGCUUUUUGGGCUGUUAUAUUACUUGUGGUACCAUAUUUAUGCUUUUUCUCUCUUAUUUUGCAAGUUUUAUUUGAAGAGGGAGAAUUCACGCAGCUGGAAUUCUGGACUGGAAAAGGAGCAAAUCCUAGUCCACUAUUCUGCACAUCUACAAAUGCCCUGAAAAGUUACGUGGAUUUUUUUGGGAUUAUAUAAAAAAUACUGGGCGAAAGAACUACCGGAGGGGGGCUGCCAAGGCGCCACAAGCCCUAAUACCGCCACCCCCUGGUGGCGGAGUGGGGGCUUGUGGGCUCCCUGACAGCCCACUAGCCCCCUCUUUUGCUAUAUGAAUCAUCCUGGUCCAGAAAAAAAAAUCAGAGGGGAGCUUUUUCGUGGUUUCGCCGCCACCACGAGGCGGAACUUUAGCAGAUCCAAUCUAAAGCUCCGGCAGGACGAUCCUGCCGGGGAAACUUCCCUCCCGGAGGGGGAAAUCGUCGCCAUCGUCAUCACCAACACUCCUCUCGUCGGAUGGGAGGCAUGUUCAUCAACAUCUUCAUCAGCACCAUCUCCUCUCCAAUCCCUAGUUCAUCUCUUGUAACCAAUCUUCGUCUUGCAACUCCGAUUGGUACUUGUAAGGUUGCUAGUAGUGUUGACUACUCUUUGUAGUUGAUGCUAGUUGGAUUACUUGGUGAAAGAGUUUAUGUUCAGAUCCUUGAUGCUAUUCAUUACACCUCUGAUCAUGAUUAUGAUUAUGUUUUGUGAGUAGUUACUUUUGUUCCUGAGGACAUGGGAUAAGUCAUGUUAAUAAUAGUCAUGUGAAUUUGAUAUCCGUUCGGUAUUUUGAUAUGUUGUAUGUUGUUUUUCCUCUAGUGUGUUAUGUGAACAUCGACUACAUAACACUUCACCAUAUUUGGGCCUAGAGGAAGGCAUUGGGGAGUAGUAAGUAGAUGAUGGGUUGCUGGAGUGACAGAAGCUAAAACCCCAGUCUAUGCGUUGCUUCGUGAGGGGAUGAUUUGGAUCCACUAGUUUAAUGCUAUGGUUAGACUUUGUCUUAAUUNNNNNNNNNNCGAGAGAGGUUAAUCAUAACUGGGAUGCUUGUCCAAGUAAGGGCAACACCCAAGCGCCGGUCCACCCACAUAUCAAACUAUCAAAGUAACGAACGCGAAUCAUAUGAACAUGAUGAAACUAGCAUGACAGAAAUUCCCGUGUGUCCUCGGGAGCGUUUUUCCUCCUAUAAGACUUUGUUCAGGCUUGUCCCUUGCUACAAAAGGGAUUGGGCCACUUGCUGCACCGUCGCUACUACUUGUUUCUUGUUACUUUUUGCUUGCUACGUUUCACCUGCUAGACAAUCACUUGUUACCGCUACUUUCAGUGCUUGCAGUUAUUACCUUGCUGAAAUCCGUUUAUCAGAGCCUUCUGCUCCUUGUUGGGUUCGACAGUAUUACUUAUCGAAAGGACUACGAUUGAUCCCCUAUACUUGUGGAUCGUCAACCAGCGCCGGCGUCGUUCUACUGCUCCAACUCGACGACAACUCAAAUGAAACACUAUCAUGUUUCAAGUAUGAACAUCCUCAUCGGUGUCUAUUACUGUAAUAUAGUAAGAUGCAAUAUUUUACAUUAAAAGUGAGUCAACCAUGUGACUUUGGUCCACGGACUAGUAAAGAUCCAUUUUUGGUUCAUACCCUAUACGAUUCACCGGCCUAUUGCCUCAUUUGAAACUAGUGUGCUUAACUAUUCCUACUAGGUGAACCACAUUGCCUCAUUUGAAACUAGUGUGCUUAACUAUUCCUACUAGGUGAACCAAUUGACUCACCGGCCCAUUGCCUCUUUUGACCCUCUCAUAUAGCUUCCAAUAUAUUAAACAUAUAACGCUGACCUGUCAUAUUGUGUCUUUGUCACGCCACGACUCCUUAAUCGCUCUAUGCACCUGGACCGAUCGAGAGAGCAGUACCGAUCAAUUUCGUGUCCUGCGACCAAACGACGCUGAGCGUGGAGCAACCUGUGCUACGACACCUCGAGAAACGCGAGGAAAUAGACUAAUUUGUAAUUACUAAGUUGGCUGCAGUGUGACUAUAAGUACUAGGCAGUUUAUCCACUUUUGACAGAACAGUCCCUAAUGUAUUAUCCAGGGACCCGUUCUCGAGGGACGGUUAGUAACAGGGGCCAAAGUGGAAGAACAGAAUAGCCCCUAAGGUAUUAUCCAGGGACCCGUUUGCGAGGGACGGUUAGUAACAGGGACCAAAGUGGAAGAACAGAAUAGCCCCGAAGGUAUUAUUCAGGGACCCGUUUGCGAGGGACGGUUAGCACCGGGGGGGUAAAGUGGAAGAAGGGCGUAUGCGUGGCAUGGCACACCACAUCUCCACGAACGAUCAUCGGUUGGAGAGAAGAAGAAAAAAAAAAGGAUCAUCGGUCGCUGACAGACACCACCACACCGCGCGGGGGGAGAAGAGAAAACAACGGUCGCUCGAUCUCGCCGGAAUCGAUCCCCGCCGGCGACGGCGACGCCCCUCCUCGCCGGAUCCAGCUCCGCCGCCCCAGAUCCGGCGCCCCCCUCCCUCCUCCGUAGAGGCCCGCGGCAGCUCGUCUCGGUGCCGCGCCGCGCCGUCGGAGAAGCCUCCUCCGGCGUCCCGCGGCACCGCCGACUCGGGGGGAGCCUCCCCACGGGGACCAGCUCCGGCGUCGUUCUACUGCUCCAACUCGACGACGCCAUCGCCUAGGG
rnacentral:lncRNA from 1 species